UGAAUAUGCAGGUCCUAUUCUUUCUCCUC
rnacentral:piRNA from 1 species